AGGACGAACGCUGGCGGCGUGCUUAACGCAUGCAAGUCGAGCGGUAAGGCUCCUUCGGGAGUACACGAGCGGCGAACGGGUGAGUAACACGUGAGCAAUCUGCCCUUCACAUCGGGAUAACCCCCGGAAACGGGAGCUAAUACCGGAUACGACCACUUCAGGCAUCUGAUGGUGGUGGAAAGUUCUGGCGGUGAAGGAUGAGCUCGCGGCCUAUCAGCUUGUGUGAGUAUCGGCCACGAGCUUCGACGGGUAGCCGGCUGAGACGGGUGACCGGCAGCGUGGGACUGAGACGCGGCCAGACUCCGACGG
rnacentral:rRNA from 1 species